CCUACGGGUGGCAGCAGUGAGGAAUAUUGGUCAAUGGACGAGAGUCUGAACCAGCCAAGUAGCGUGAAGGAUGACUGCCCUAUGGGUUGUAAACUUCUUUUAUAAAGGAAUAAAACGAGGCACGUGUGCCUUUUUGCAUGUACUUUAUGAGUAAGGAUCGGCUAACUCCGUGCCAGCAGCCGCGGUAAUACGGAGGGUCCGAGCGUUAUCCGGAUUUAUUGGGUUUAAAGGGAGCGUAGAUGGGUUGUUAAGUCAGUUGUGAAAGUUUGCGGCUCAACCGUAAAAUUGCAAUUGAUACUGGCAGUCGUGAGUACAGUUGAGGUAAGCGGAAUUCGUGGUGUAGCGGUGAGAUGCUUAGAGAUCACGAAGAACCCCGAUUGCGAAGGCAGCUUACUAAACUGUGACUGACAUUGAUGCUCGAAAGUGUGGGUAUCAAACAGGAUUAGAUACCCGAGUAGUC
rnacentral:rRNA from 1 species